UGUCAGCUCAGUGGUUGGAGUGGAUACUGUACAAACAUGAGCACUCCGAGCUCUGCUACCCAGUGUCUAUGUAAAACCAAGCAUCGCUGCCUCUGUGCCUGAAACUCCAGCUGUGGGGACAAGACAGGUAGUUUGGGGGUUCACUGGCAACCAGUCUGGCUGAAGUGAUGAGUUCCAGCUUUAAUGAGAGACCCUGACUCAAAAAAUAAGGUGGGGUGAUUGAUGAACAUACCUGAUGUUGACCUCUGUCCUCCAUGUGCACAUAUAUAGUUUGUGCACACGCAUACAUACACUGCACGUACCUCUCUAUACAUGUGCAUGAGGCCUAUCUAUCAGCAUAUUUUUAUGUGUAAUACCCCACUGUUGACAAUAGAUACAAUUUUACACACCAGAUUUAGGUCUUUAUCUUGUUUGACUGAAACUUGAUGCAUUUUAUUUAAAAAGUCCCCAUUUUCCUUUCACCAGACCCGACUAAACACCAUUCUACUGAGAAUUCAAUGACUUUGAUUAUUUUGGAUACAUUAUAUAAGCAGGAUUAUAAAAUGUAUUUAUCUUCCUGUGUACAGUUCAUUUCCACUAAGCACAUCACCCUCCAGGCUCAUUAAUAUUAUUGCAAAUGAUAGGAUUUGCUUAGUUUUCAUGAUCAAAUAGUAUUCAGUUGCAUAUGUAAGCCAAAAUUUGUUUGUCCUUUUAUCAGUUGACAGAUGUCUAGACGGAUUCCAUCUCUUGGCUCUCAUGAAUACUACUACAAUAAAUACGGCAGUGCAGGCUCUUGUGCCCACUGUACAUGGUGAUGGAUCGAACGAAGAUGGGAACAUCAAGGAGAGCUCUCAGGACCCAGUGAAUUUUAGCACACUUUGGGUGUGCCAUAAGUAAAUCUGUCCUUCGGGGGAGCAUUCUUAGAUGGCGUCCAGCAAGCAUGACACAUUUAAUUGCAUCACUUAUCUUGCAUGUGUUUCUGGGCAUCUCUUCCUAAAGGGCCCUCUCACCUUCCCCUGUGCAAUCUAAGGAAGCUGCCGUGGUUGAGUCACUAUGUGCACAACCCACAACAGAAGUUGGGAAAUGACCUGUAUUGGUCAGGCCUCUCCAUAGGAAAAAAUCAAGUAUAUAUCUAAUGUAUACAUUAUUUACAUAUUAUAGUACUAAUUUAUUAUAAUGAUUGACUCACACAAUGAUGGAGACUAAGUCCUGGAUAGGACAUGUAUAAAUAAAAGAUCCAGGAAAAUUGA